GUUGCGUAUACGCCACGUUGCGGUCGGAUUCAGAUCUGCCAUUUUGGCCCCAGCUUGUUAAAGCACACGUGGCCUGUCAAACGAUGUCAGUACUUCCCCGGCAGCCGCCCCAGAAAACGGAGCAGGAAAUUAGACCGAACGCCAGCAGAAGUCGCACAAAACAAACAGACAAAAAGUUAAUUGUAUGAAAUCAACACACUUAAAGUCAACAGCAACAACGAACACCGAACACCGAACAACUCGAACAACAAAUACGCUCUGAACAUGUUGACAACAGUCAAGGGCAAUAUUAGGGGCAGACCCCAGAGCUCCUGUACCCCAGAAAAACCCGUGGAAAACCCCAGCAAAGUGCUGGCAAUGAUAGCAGGCCAGGAAAGGGGCGUGGCAGUGGGAAAGGGGCGGCCGCUGGAGCUG
ensembl:ncRNA lncRNA:CR45398 long non-coding RNA:CR45398